AUGUGCAAGGGAGGCUGGGAAGUGUCAUCCAGCCAGCCAUUUGCGUGCCAGCUGCCUUCCUGCUGCAGCUGCCCACUCUCCUGCUCAUUACUGUGUUCUGGCCGCAGAUCUUCUCUCAGUCCAUCGAAGGCCCAAGCUCUUCCUACCUCAGGCCUUUGUGGAUUCUGCUCCCUCUGCCUGAAAUGCUUUGCCCCGCUUGGCAUGGUUUGUUCUUCUUCUGGCACCCUCACGGACCUGCCCCCUGAGCAUGGUGAAACUAAAAGAGGAGAAACCCAGGAACCAUCCCUGCCACACGGCUGUGAAGGUAGAGCAGGACACCAUUGUCCCUGGCCUUCUCCUGUCAGAACUUACAGGCUGAGGUUUGCAAAUUCCUGGAGAGAACAUAGCAACUUGGGCAAUGACGUGGGAGAGAACGUUCCCAGCACUGACGUGAGUCUCCCCACACCAGAGAACCAGAGAGCAGGCGAUUGAAGCUCAUGCUGCUCUGAACAGUUAUAGCAAAGGUAAUCUCCAUGACGGCAUUUGAAAUAGCCCCACUGCACUGGGAAGAUUGUGGUGGUAGGGAAGCCAGACUUUGAUGAAAAGCAGAAUCAAGGAUCCCUGGGUUUGGACUCAUACAAGGCCCUUGGGUCUUAAGGAACUCAGAACAAAGGCAGGGUUUGCCCCACUGGGCCCUUUCCCACACAAUGGGGUCCUGGCUGGGUGGGUAGAAGUAGAAUGCAAUCCAGUUUAAAAACUCCAUGAGAGCAGGGACUCUGUCUUUUCAUUACUAUAUCCUGAGCUCCGAGCUUGGGUCCUGAUGCUUAGGAGAUCCUUAAAAUUUUUUGUUCAAUGAAUGAGUGAGUGCUUGCAUGAAUUAAUGACGAGUGAAUAAAUGAAUGGUUCUAGAAUAAGUGACGUAAUGG
rnacentral:lncRNA from 1 species